UGGUAUUAUUCAUUUUAUUUGGAAAACAAAAGGGCCUGGAAAGGAGAAUUUUUUAAUCAACAGCAUUGUCCUUUACGAGUUAUAAAUAAAGUUGAAUAAUUUGAUUCGCUGUUUUACGUCAUUCCGGCUAACAAAUUGAAAACUGUACAUGCUGUACCUAUACGCCUUAUUUUAAGUCCAGAUUUUUAUUAUUCGUAUUGUCAUCCUAGAAAG
rnacentral:lncRNA from 1 species